GAUGAAGAACGCAGCGAAAUGCGAUAAGUAAUGUGAAUUGCAGAAUUCAGUGAAUCAUCGAAUCUUUGAACGCACAUUGCGCCCGCCAGUAUUCUGGCGGGCAUGCCUGUUCGAGCGUCAUUACAACCCUCAGGCCCCCGGGCCUGGCGUUGGGGAUCGGCAGAAGCCCCCUGUGGGCACACGCCGUCCCUCAAAUGCAGUGGCGGUCCCGCCGCAGCUUCCAUUGCGUAGUAGCUAACACCUCGCAACUGGAGAGCGGCGCGGCCAUGCCGUAAAACACCCAACUUCUGAAUGUUGACCUCGAAUCAGGUAGGAAUACCCGCUGAACUUAAGCAUAUCAAUAAGCGGAGGA
rnacentral:misc_RNA from 1 species